rnacentral:rRNA from 1 species
AGUCGAACGGCAGCACGGACUUCGGUCUGGUGGCGAGUGGCGAACGGGUGAGUAAUGUAUCGGAACGUGCCUAGUAGCGGGGGAUAACUACGCGAAAGCGUAGCUAAUACCGCAUACGCCCUUCGGGGGAAAGCGGGGGGACCUUCGGGCCUCGCACUAUUAGAGCGGCCGAUAUCGGAUUAGCUAGUUGGUGGGGUAACGGCUCACCAAGGCGACGAUCCGUAGCUGGUUUGAGAGGACGACCAGCCACACUGGGACUGAGACACGGCCCAGACUCCUACGGGAGGCAGCAGUGGGAAUUUUGGACAAUGGGGAAACCCUGGAUCCAGCCAUCCCGCGUGUGUGAUGAAGGCCUUCGGGUUGUAAAGCACUUUUGGCAGGAAAGAAACGGCACGGGAUAAUACCCCGUGCAACUGAUUGGGUACCUGCAGAAUAAGCAGCACUGGCUAACCAUGCGCCACAGCAGCCGCGGUAAUACGUAGGGUGCAAGCGUUAAUCGGAAUUACUAUGCAAAGCGUGCGCAGGCGGUUCGGAAAGAAAGAUGUGAAAUCCCAGAGCUUAACUUUGAACUGCAUUUUUAACUACUGAGCUAGAGUGUGUGUCAGAGGGAGGUGGAAUUCCGUGUAGCAGUGAAAUGCGUAGAUAUGCGGAGGAACACCGAUGGCGAAGGCAGCCUCCUGAUAACACUGACGCUCAUGCACGAAAGCGUGGGGAGCAAACAGAUUAGAUGGCUCCGGUAGCCCACGCCCUAAACGAUGUCAACUAGCUGUUGGGGCCUUCGGGCCUUGGUAGCGCAGCUAACGCGUGAAGUUGACCGCCUGGGGAGUACGGUCGAUUAAAACUCAAAGGAAUUGACGGGGACCCGCACAAGCGGUGGAUGAUGUGGAUUAAUUCCGAUGCAACGCGAAAACCUUACCUACCCUUGACAUGUCUGGAAUCCCGAAGAGAUUUGGGAGUGCUCGCAAGAGAACCGGAACACAGGUGCUGCAUGGCUGUCGUCAGCUCGUGUCGUGAGAUGUUGGGUUAAGUCCCGCAACGAGCGCAACCCUUGUCAUUAGUUGCUACGAAAGGGCACUCUAAUGAGACUGCCGGUGACAAAACUGGAGGAAGGUGGGGAUGACGUCAAGUCCUCAUGGCCCUUAUGGGUAGGGCUUCACACGUCAUACAAUGGUCGGGACAGAGGGUCGCCAACCCGCGAGGGGGAGCCAAUCCCAGAAACCCGACGUAGUCCGGAUCGCAGUCUGCAACUCGACUGCGUGAAGUCGGAAUCGCUAGUAAUCGCGGAUCAGCAUGUCGCGGGUGAAUACGUUCCCGGGUCUUGUACACACCGCCCGUCACACCAUGGGAGUGGGUUUUACCAGAAGUAGUUAGCCUAACCGUAUGAGUGGCGAUUACCACGGUAGGAUUCAUGACUGGGGUGGUCGUAACAAGGUAG